AUAGGCAAAUCCGUGUCUCAUAUAGCCUGAGAACCGAGGCGGACCCGUUCAGGGGAAGUGGAUGAUCCCAUGCUGCCAAGAAAAACUUCGUAGUGAGUGUUAGAGCCGCCCGUACCCCAAACCGACACAGGUGAUCAGGUAGAGAAUACCAAGGCGAUCGAGUGAACCAUGGUUAAGGAACUCGGCAAAAUGCCCCCGUAACUUCGGGAGAAGGGGGGCCGGAUGCGUUACCUCACUUGCUGGGGGAAGCGUUGAUGGCCGCAGAGACCAGGCCCAAGCGACUGUUUACUAAAAACACAGGUCCGUGCGAAGAAGUAAUUCGAUGUAUUCGGACUGACGCCUGCCCGGUGCUGGAACGUUAAGGGGACAGGUUAGCUGGUUUAGGCCGGCGAAGCUUUGAACUUAAGCGCCAGUAAACGGCGGUGGUAACUAUAACCAUCCUAAGGUAGCGAAAUUCCUUGUCGGGUAAGUUCCGACCUGCACGAAUGGCGUAACGACUUGGGCGCUGUCUCAACCAUGGACUCGGCGAAAUUGCAUUACGAGUAAAGAUGCUCGUUACGCGCAGCAGGACGGAAAGACCCCGGGACCUUUACUACAACUUGGUAUUGGUGGUCGGUACAACUUGUGUAGGAUAGGUGGGAGACUGUGAAAUCCGGACGCCAGUUCGGGUGGAGUCAUCGUUGAAAUACCACUCUGGUUGUUCUGGCUGUCUAACUUCGGUCCAUUAUCUGGAUCAGGGACAGUGCCUGGUGGGUAGUUUGACUGGGGCGGUCGCCUCCUAAAAGGUAACGGAGGCGCUCAAAGGUUCCCUCAGCCUGGUUGGCAAUCAGGUGUCGAGUGUAAGUGCACAAGGGAGCUUGACUGUGAGACAGACAUGUCGAGCAGGGACGAAAGUCGGAACUAGUGAUCCGGCGGUGGCAUGUGGGAGCACCGUCGCUCAACGGAUAAAAGGUACCCCGGGGAUAACAGGCUGAUCCUCCCCAAGAGUCCAUAUCGACGGGAUGGUUUGGCACCUCGAUGUCGGCUCGUCGCAUCCUGGGGCUGGAGUAGGUCCCAAGGGUUGGGCUGUUCGCCCAUUAAAGCGGCACGCGAGCUGGGUUUAGAACGUCGUGAGACAGUUCGGUCCCUAUCCGCUGCGCGCGCAGGAGACUUGAGAAGGGCUGCCCCUAGUACGGGGGGACCGGGGUGGACGAACCUCUGGUGUGCCAGUUGUUCCGCCAGGAGCACGGCUGGUUGGCUACGUUCGGGAGUGAUAACCGCUGAAAGCAUCUAAGCGGGAAGCACGCUUCAAAAUGAGGUCUCCCACCGAGUUAAUCGGGUAAGGCCCCCAGUAGACCACUGGGUUGAUAGGCCAGAGGUGGAAGCGCCGUAAGGUGUGGAGCUGACUGGCACUAAUAGGCCGAGGGCUUGUCCC
rnacentral:rRNA from 1 species